rnacentral:lncRNA from 1 species
ACUUUAACAAAUCUUGCAGCCGCACACUCUUUGGGUCCGCCCGUUUCUCUAAUCAAGUUGUAACACUCGCUGCUGUGGUCCACAGCUUCAUUCCUUGAAGCCCGUGAGACACGAACGCUUCCAUUGAGAAAAACCUUCCAUCAGAAGAAGACUUCUCGUCUCAGUGGGACUGCUGAGUUGAAUGGUGCUUUUUUUUCUGAAGCUUUGGUAGUGUAACUGUAAGAGUCCUGGAAUUGGAAAAGCAAAUCCAGAAGUUGAGUUCCAUGACUUUUUUGCUGUUUGCCUUUGGACUUGCAUCAUUUAUAUUUUUAAUUCAUCGAGGAUGAGAAAAUUGAUUAACACAAAAUCUUUUCAUGUCUUUUCUGAUGAGAGACUAGCUGAAUCCAAGAAGAGAAGCCCUUGAAGAGUGUAUUCUAUUCUAGACAAGCAUUCACACAUUGGCUUCUUUGGUGCCAGAUUAAAGAAUGAAGAAAGGAUCAAAUUGAGACAUCCAGGGGGGAAGAGUUCCCUGGCAAAACUCCAAUCUGCCUGAGCACUGAGGUGGAGCCACAGAAGUCCGGGUCAUUUGCACCUGGGAGGAGCCUGGCCCCUCCUCUUCCUGUGUGGAAUCUGGGAUUUAAUCUGUGAGGAGGGAAGGCCAAGGGCAGGAAGCACAGGCUCUCACUUCACUAAGAGUCUCUGUUUCCCCUUUUUUUCCUUUAUGCCUAAUUAAUAAAUCCCAUUUUUCUCACUCUUCAAAAAAAAAAAAAA